UUAGUGGCGGACGGGUGAGUAACGCGUGGGGAACCUGCCCUGUACAGGGGGAUAACACUUAGAAAUAGGUGCUAAUACCGCAUAAGCGCACAGUAUCGCAUGAUACAGUGUGAAAAACUCCGGUGGUACAGGAUGGACCCGCGUCUGAUUAGCUGGUUGGCGGGGUAACGCCCACCAAGGCGACGAUCAGUAGCCGGCCUGAGAGGGUGAACGGCCACAUUGGGACUGAGACACGGCCCAAACUCCUACGGAAGGCAGCAG
rnacentral:rRNA from 1 species